UACGAAGGGGGCUAGCGUUGCUCGGAAUCACUGGGCGUAAAGCGCCCGUAGGCGGGUUCUUAAGUCCGGGGUGAAAUCCUGGAGCUCAACUCCAGAACUGCCUUUGAUACUGGGAAUCUCGAGUCCGGGAGAGGUGAGUGGAACUGCGAGUGUAGAGGUGAAAUUCGUAGAUAUUCGCAAGAACACCAGUGGCGAAGGCGGCUCACUGGCCCGGUACUGACGCUGAGGUGCGAAAGCGUGGGGAGCAAACAGG
rnacentral:rRNA from 1 species